CUCGCUACUACCGAUGCCGGUCACCUCUCUACUACCGAUGCUGGUCACCUCGCUACUACCAAUACCGGUCACCUCGCUACUACCGAUGCUGGUCACCCCGCUACUACCGAUGCUGGCCACCUCGGCGUGGAUAUCUCACUGCUAUUGAUGCUGGAUACUUUGCUGCUACUGAUCCUUCGCUACAACUGGCAUCAGCCAACUCUGUACCACCAGCCCGGUAACUCACCACCAGCCUGGUAACUCACCACCAGCCCGGUAACUCACCACCAGCAUUGACUUCCUCAACACUACGGCUGUGAUCAGAGAUACCAAAUUAUUUGCAUCGCUUGUUCCUCAAAUGUCAGUCAUAUCACGCUAGUGCCGGGGUUGUCUAUGCCAGCAAUCACAAGACUGGUCGCGUCCUGUGUGUCACAAUGCUGAUGCUGGCAUCGUCAUUCUCUGCCCUGCGGAUGUCAGUAACAUGAUCACCAUGCGUGCACAGCUAUGGCUCACCAGCUGCAUGAUCACCAUUUGGGUUGGAUGAAGACCGGCAUUUGCCUUCACCACAGCUCUCAAAAAGCCACAGCUCAAGAAGAACGAGAGCCUGUGGUGACGAGGCCUUGGAGCUCAGCUGACCAUGAGUAGGGAGUUCAAUCGAAAACCAAAUUUGAUUUCAGGCUGGACGUUCUUGGGCUCCAUGUUCUUCAGCGCGGGACUCUACUGUACUGAAAUAUUAUUGUUUCCAUUCCAAUAAUAUGGUUGCUAUCAAGUGUAUGGUUGCCAAUUGAAAGAUAGGGAAUUCGUUCUGACCAGUGUCAUUUCAAUGCCCAUUCCCACCACUCUUUCUCCAGAACACUUGGACAACAAUAGUCACCGGU